UACGUAGGGUGCGAGCGUUAAUCGGAAUUACUGGGCGUAAAGUGUGCGCAGGCGGCGCCGCAAGUCGAGUGUGAAAGCCCCGGGCUUAACUUGGGAAUUGCGCUCGAAACUAUGGUGCUGGAGUGUGGCAGAGGAAGGUGGAAUUCCACGUGUAGCGGUGAAAUGCGUAGAGAUGUGGAGGAACACCGAUGGCGAAGGCAGCCUUCUGGGCCAACACUGACGCUCAUGCACGAAAGCAUGGGGAGCGAACAGG
rnacentral:rRNA from 1 species